GGUCCCCAGCUGUGCAGAUGCGCGGCGGUGGCGCGUUUCCAAUGCUUUGUUUCAGUCAGAAGACUGACCUCGUUGUAGAAGCUAAUGAGUAAAAGCACAGCUCAUAUUCCCAUGUUCUCACUGACUUUGUCAUGCUCUUGGAACCCCAUUUCUUUAGGAUCGAGACAGACAGCUGCAGAUGGAGCUUCCUGGUGCUCCUGAAAGUCUGUCUGCAUCAGAAGCCCCACCUGAAGCUACUGAGAGCCAGCGCAGGGAUGAUGAGAAAGACGCAGAGCGCUUGCAAGAGGAAUUGGAGACAGCUAAAGCUGAGUGUCAGUGUGGGAGAAGGAAAGAGAAGCAGCAGGUCGAGUUGAAACGCCCAGUCGAAGUGCGCCUCGAGCAGGAAAUGAAAAGGAACAGCGAACUGCAGAGAGAAUGUGACAGGUUAAGGAGGCAUCUGAACGCAGCUCUGCAGAAACUAAGCAAAUAUGAGGCCAGAGAAAGAGAGACCCAGUUUAAUACUGCAGAAGACAUGACGAGCAGCUGCUCUGAAGGGGCCCGUGAAGUUGAUGAAUUAACAGCAAAGGUG
rnacentral:lncRNA from 1 species